UGAAUAGGGCGCUUAGUCAGAUGCUGCAGACCCGAAACGAAGUGAUCUAUCCAUGAGCAAGUUGAAGCUAGUGUAAGAACUAGUGGAGGACUGAACCCAUAGGCGUUGAAAAGCCCCGGGAUGACUUGUGGAUAGGGGUGAAAGGCCAAUCAAACUUCGUGAUAGCUGGUUCUCUCCGAAAUAUAUUUAGGUAUAGCGUUGUGUCGUAAUAUAAGGGGGUAGAGCACUGAAUGGGCUAGGGCAUACACCAAUGUACCAAACCCUAUCAAACUCCGAAUACCUUAUAUGUAAUCACAGCAGUCAGGCGGCGAGUGAUAAAAUCCGUCGUCAAGAGGGAAACAACCCAGACUAUCAGCUAAGGUCCCCAAGUCUUACUUAAGUGGAAAACGAUGUGAAGUUACUUAAACAACCAGGAGGUUGGCUUAGAAGCAGCCAUCCUUUAAAGAAAGCGUAAUAGCUCACUGGUCUAGUGAUUUUGCGCGGAAAAUAUAACGGGGCUAAAGUAAGCACCGAAGCUAUAGACUUAGUUUUACUAAGUGGUAGGAGAGCGUUCUAUUUGCGCCGAAGGUAUACCGGUAAGGAGUGCUGGAGCGAAUAGAAGUGAGCAUGCAGGCAUGAGUAGCGAUAAUUAAUGUGAGAAUCAUUAACGCCGUAAACCCAAGGUUUCCUACGCGAUGCUCGUCAUCGUAGGGUUAGUCGGGUCCUAAGUCGAGUCCGAAAGGGGUAGACGAUGGCAAAUUGGUUAAUAUUCCAAUACCAACAUUAGUGUGCGAUGGAAGGACGCUUAGGGCUAAGGGGGCUAGCGGAUGGAAGUGCUAGUCUAAGGUCGUAGGAGGUUAUACAGGCAAAUCCGUAUAACAAUACUCCGAGAACUGAAAGGCUUUUUGAAGUCUUCGGAUGGAUAGAAGAACCCCUGAUGCCGUCGAGCCAAGAAAAGUUUCUAAGUUUAGCUAAUGUUGCCCGUACCGUAAACCGACACAGGUGGGUGGGAUGAGUAUUCUAAGGCGCGUGGAAGAACUCUCUUUAAGGAACUCUGCAAAAUAGCACCGUAUCUUCGGUAUAAGGUGUGGUUAGCUUUGUAUUAGGAUUUACUCCGAAAGCAAGGAAACUUACAACAAAGAGUCCCUCCCGACUGUUUACCAAAAACACAGCACUCUGCUAACUCGUAAGAGGAUGUAUAGGGUGUGACGCCUGCCCGGUGCUCGAAGGUUAAUUGAUGGGGUUAGCAUUAGCGAAGCUCUUGAUCGAAGCCCGAGUAAACGGCGGCCGUAACUAUAACGGUCCUAAGGUAGCGAAAUUCCUUGUCGGUUAAAUACCGACCUGCAUGAAUGGCGUAACGAGA
rnacentral:rRNA from 1 species